AUUUAAGAAAGCACUUAACCACUUUUUCUAUCUCAGAUAUUCUAAAAUGUAAUUUCAUUAAUUUUAUUAAUCAUAGAAUUUCUGUAACUAAUAUUUAAUAUUGUGUUUGACAAGAGGUUAUAGGGUAUUUUUAUUUUUGUAGCUAUUAAUUUAUUGACAUUUUGCCUUGUGGGCCAUAUAUAAUAUUUUGUUUUCUUUCUUCAGAUAAUUGGCAGCCUGAAAGGUAUAAUAUAAUCCAAUACAAACCUAACUAGCUGAUAGAAUUUGAUAAUUCAAAGAAUAAAGAUGAUGAAUAAUUUAGAAAUUAGAGGUGAGGAAAAAUGAGAAAAAAUUGGAGAUGACAUAAUGUUUCCAAAAUUUGGUCAAAACUAUGGCAAGAGAAGAAAAAUGAGUCCAAAUGGGAGAAGAGGUACUUGAAAGAAGAAAGAAGAAAAAGUAGGAACUUGAUGUUCUAGUGGUCAAAAUGCUUUCUUGGGUAAUUCCUAGAAAAUAUGCCUAGGAGCAAAAUGGACACUAAUUACCUAUUUACUGGUUCUAUACCAGUGCAAAACAUUCAUUCCUCACCAAACCCAAAAGACCAAUAAUCAAAACUACCAUAAUUGUCCUAGUCCUGUCUACAUCUGAAGGUGAAAAGAAGUGUAUUCUCCUCAUUUUUCAGAUGAGUCAACCAUAACCUUUGAAGAGUGCCUGGGACAUAAUGAUUGCUUCAGAAUAGAUGUAUAAAUGAAUGAGUAGUUAAACCAAGGUCAAACAGCUGGUAUCAGGAGAAGAAUUAGGGGCCUGUGGAUACUGAAAACAAAACAAUGAAAGAACAAGACCUCUGAUAGAUUUCAUGGGCUUCUUGGAGGACCAACAUCAGUCAAUGGAAGUGUGAUGACUUAUCAGAGGCUUCCUUGGUUGCAGUACAGAAGAUGCAAUGCCAGCAGUGCUUUUUCAGGAGCUCCCUCUGAAGAAGAUCAUGGCUCAGUUACCAUGGACACCAAGAAGCUAUGCAGCUUUUUAUUCUUUUUACUUCCUUCAUUAUGUGCCCUCCCAGGAAAUAUAUUUUCAUUAGUAACUAGGUUUUGAAACUUUUGCCAAGACACCAGCCUAACCUAUUGCUCUCUAAACAAAUACCUUCAGUAUCUAAUACAUAGGUAUAUGCCAGUCUGAGCCAACUGUGCUAUUAGGAAACUAAUAAAUACUCCUUUGCUUCCUAUUUAAUGAGAAAAAGCACGACAAUAUUGCUCAUGCCAGAUCAGGUUUUGAUUGGUAUGUGCUUAUCCUUCAUAAACAAAUGUAUUUUAUAUGAAAAACCACAGGGGAAAUAUUUUUAUUUAUUUUAUUAGUUGUACAAAAGCCAUGUUGGCAACUGAAGAACCAAUAAAAUAAAAUUGUCUCAUGUGGUUCUUAUUAUGGAAUCAAAUAGUAAUGUAAAAGGCAAGCACACACCAAUCAUAAUUCCAUCUGGCUGAAAGAACAGGAAAAUGUGGCUCCAUUUUCAUUAGGAAAAGGAGGCAUAUAUUUCAUAAUGUGUUCAAAUGUGGCUCUAAAGGUACUCCCAGUACACUACUGCAUUUUGUACCACUCACGGGGUGCCAUAUCUACUGAUGCAGGUUAAUGUAAUCAAAGUGACUUGAAAGGAGAGGACUGCUGUUAGCCUUGCAUCUGCAUUAAUAGAGCACCAACAGAAGCUAGAGCAACAUUUCUUGGCAUUCUGGAAAGAAAUGCAUGUUGAACCAGUAAGCAAUAUGUAUAGCCCUUGCAAUAUACACUUGGCAUAUUUGCAGCAAGUAAGUUGCCAUUCAUGUAACCACCAAAAAUACAUUCCAGAAUGUUUACUCUUUUCAGUAAGCAGAUAAUACCAUUCAAGCUCUGGACUUAAAAGAUUGCAUGCAUAAAUAUUUUCUAAAUUCCUUUAGUGCUGUUUUUGGUUUAUCUUCAAGGAAAUAUAAGGGUAGCUAUUAUCAAUAGAAGGUAGGUAUUCAUUUGUAAGAGGUUGGGUCAGCAAGACACUGCACUAUUGAAUCAUGUCUGGGACAACAUGGAGUGGUCAUUUGGGCCUCUGGGAAGUGUGGCAUGGAAGAGUAGUUCUUUAUUAAGAACAAGAAAGUAGCUAGCCCUGAGAAUAAAGGUUGAUUUGCUUUUCUGAAACUGGUUUUCUAGCCUCUGUUGGUGAUUUGUUUUUGAAGUCUUGCUUUUUUUUCUUUCUCUUAAUCUGCUUGUGAGUAGAUGACUAAGUGAUCACGUCACCUAGAAAUGUGUGUGAAUCUCCUGAUUUUUGACUCAUGUGUGCCACAACUAGGAUGGAAUGAUUUCCCUAUCCUGAACUUGUUUGGGAGUGCAGAAAAAAUGAUGUAAGUUUUUGACAUAUUUUGUUAAAUAGGUAUGAGACUUAUGUAUGACACAUUUACUUGGCAGAAAAGUAAGUGCAGGAAGGGACUCAAGUCACACAAAAGCUCUGGAUUUAUAAUCCUACUUAAACAUCUACACAUUUUGUAAAUUCACUUAAAAUAU
rnacentral:lncRNA from 1 species